AGUUAGGUAGUUUAAAAUAAAACAUUAAUCUUGUAAAUUAAAAAUAAUUAUCUUUCCCAACUU
rnacentral:tRNA from 1 species